CACUGAGUGAACAAAGUGCACAGCUCUGAGCAAAGUGAAUAAGUUUUUUGUUUACACAUUUAAAAGUGAACUUCUACUCACCUCUCUUCUUGUCCUCUUCAAUCUCCUUGAUUACCGACACAAUCUCAUCCAAUUUCAUUUGAUUGCGAGAGAGAGAAACCCACUGGCCGCUGGCCACAUAGCGGACUAAGGCCCCGACGCAAGGCUCUUGGCAAUUUAUAACCGUCUCCCCCUUGCCCCAGAUAAAGUUUGCUUAACUAUAAACUGUAACCAUUCAAUCGAGAGAUGUGAGUCAUUCCUGG